CUUUGCUAGGAGCUUCUAACACAAGUCAUAUCAAUUGCUCAUGAUGAAGAUGGGGAAGAGAGAAAACCCCUCCUUCUUCUCACUGCAUUCCAGAAAAAGUCAUAAGGAAAAAGGCAAUGAAGCCCCCUCCACCAAACUCCAUGAUUUCAAAGUGUGAAGUUAAAAACAAGGCAUUUGGCAAAGAAAAAAACACCACCAACAACAAAGAGAAAAGCAAACAGACCACUGUGAAGAAAAUUGCAGCUUAUGUGGCAGCGUCUAUUGCUGAGAAUGAAGAAGUGAAAUUCUAUGAAGAAAUUGCCAAGAUAUUGCAAAACAAAUCAACAUUCACCUGGAUAUAAAGUGACUUCAAUAGAAUGGUGCACACAGGAAACGCUGGCAGGAACCAUAUUGAAAAAUAUGGUUCAGGACAAAGAGACAAUGAGGCCAAAGGCAUGUGGACCACUCAGAAGUCUUAUGGUUGUACAGGUUAGAUUUGUUCCUUAUUAAAAAUUAGAAGUCUCUCUGUA